rnacentral:rRNA from 1 species
UACAGAGGUCCCAAGCGUUGUUCGGAUUCACUGGGCGUAAAGGGUGCGUAGGUGGUGAGGUAAGUCGGAUGUGAAGUCUCCGAGCUCAACUCGGAAAUGGCAUUGGAAACUACCUUGCUCGAGGGUUGGAGGGGGGACUGGAAUGCUUGGUGUAGCAGUGAAAUGCGUAGAUAUCAAGCGGAACACCAGUGGCGAAGGCGAGUCCCUGGACAACUCCUGACACUGAGGCACGAAAGCUAGGGGAGCAAACAGG